ensembl:lncRNA
AUGAUCAUAUCUUUCCUCACUGCCCAAAGCACAGACCAGCCCAGCAACAACACCACAGUCAAGCACAAAGACAAAGACGACUUCAGGAGCAAACUGUCCUUACUACAGGCUGAAGAUGAUGCAGCUACUGCAAGAGAGGGACAAGCUAAAGGCCCAACUAGCAACACUGGAUUCCCAGCUCACACAGCAGACACAGAGCCACUGGGCACUGAUAACAGCCCUGAAAGAGGAGAUGAGAGAACUGAACGAGGAGAAAGAACCCAUCGCAAAGACCUCACCCCCAUAGAGGACACCCACCACACUGACCACAACUCCCAGAACACAGUAGCAGACCCCAGCCAAAAACCUCCUUCCUCACCAAACCCUCUACCCAGCUCACAGCCAGCCUCAGAAUCAGACACUUCUUCAGCACCCACGGAACACACACAAAAACCAGACACUGUUCUCAUAACUGACUCAAAUGGGAAGUUUAUAGAUGAGAAGAAGCACUUCCCCAAACACAUAGUGGCCAAACUCCGGUGCCCAAACACCCAUAGCACCCUCAAACUGCUGGACAUGGACAAACUUGGGUCACCAAGCCACAUAAUAAUUCACACUGGCACAAACGACCUGAGAACACAACAAGAAAGAGUGGCGACAGCACUACAGAGGGUGGUUGAAAAAGCCACAACCACCUUUCCAAGUGCAAAAAUCACCAUCUCCACACUGCUGCCACAAAAGAACUUCCACCCAGAUACAAUUCAGCGGGUGAAUGCAAACCUCUCCAGAGCCUGUGCACUCCAACCUCACGUACACCUGGCACAUCACGCCUCCCUGGACCUCACAUGCCUCUACAACCACGUCCACCUGUACAGAGCCACUGUUCCUGCCUUUGCAAAGACAUUAAAAGAUGUUGCACUAAACCGUAUCAUCCACACCACUCCCAGAAACAGCAGAGCUAGGCGGAACCCAACCAGACCGGGAAACAACCGCACAGCACCAGAAGCAGGCCAACCCCCCCCCCCAAAAACAAAGCAUCCUCGUCCAGCACCUGAUCAAAGCCUGCGAUCAACUCUCUACCCCAUCCACAGACCAGAGCACAGCCUCUCCUGCCUACACCCCCCACCCCGCACAUUCAGCAGAGCCCUGGCAACCUCAGCUAUGCCCAGACAGUAA